GAGUUUGAUCCUGGCUCAGGAUGAACGCUAGCUACAGGCUUAACACAUGCAAGUCGAGGGGCAGCGGGAUUGAAGCUUGCUUCAAUUGCCGGCGACCGGCGCACGGGUGAGUAACGCGUAUCCAACCUUCCGUACACUCAGGGAUAGCCUUUCGAAAGAAAGAUUAAUACCUGAUGGUAUGAUGAGAUUGCAUGAUAGCAUCAUUAAAGAUUUAUCGGUGUACGAUGGGGAUGCGUUCCAUUAGGUAGUAGGCGGGGUAACGGCCCACCUAGCCAACGAUGGAUAGGGGUUCUGAGAGGAAGGUCCCCCACAUUGGAACUGAGACACGGUCCAAACUCCUACGGGAGGCAGCAGUGAGGAAUAUUGGUCAAUGGACGAGAGUCUGAACCAGCCAAGUAGCGUGAAGGAUGAAGGUCCUACGGAUUGUAAACUUCUUUUAUAAGGGAAUAAACCCUCCCACGUGUGGGAGCUUGUAUGUACCUUAUGAAUAAGCAUCGGCUAACUCCGUGCCAGCAGCCGCGGUAAUACGGAGGAUGCGAGCGUUAUCCGGAUUUAUUGGGUUUAAAGGGAGCGCAGACGGGUCGUUAAGUCAGCUGUGAAAGUUUGGGGCUCAACCUUAAAAUUGCAGUUGAUACUGGCGUCCUUGGGUGCGGUUGAGGUGUGCGGAAUUCGUGGUGUAGCGGUGAAAUGCUUAGAUAUCACGAAGAACUCCGAUUGCGAAGGCAGCACACUAAUCCGUAACUGACGUUCAUGCUCGAAAGUGUGGGUAUCAAACAGGAUUAGAUACCCUGGUAGUCCACACGGUAAACGAUGGAUACUCGCUGUUGGCGAUAUACUGUCAGCGGCUUAGCGAAAGCGUUAAGUAUCCCACCUGGGGAGUACGCCGGCAACGGUGAAACUCAAAUGAAUUGAC
rnacentral:rRNA from 1 species